rnacentral:rRNA from 1 species
AACGAACGCUGGCGGCAUGCCUAACACAUGCAAGUCGAACGAGACCUUCGGGUCUAGUGGCGCACGGGUGCGUAACGCGUGGGAACCUGCCCUUAGGUUCGGAAUAACUCCCCGAAAGGGGUGCUAAUACCGGAUAAUGUCUUCGGACCAAAGAUUUAUCGCCUUUGGAUGGGCCCGCGUUGGAUUAGCUAGUUGGUAGGGUAAAAGCCUACCAAGGCGACGAUCCAUAGCUGGUCUGAGAGGAUGAUCAGCCACACUGGGACUGAGACACGGCCCAGACUCCUGCGGGAGGCGGCAGUGGGGAAUUUUGGGCAGGGGGCGAAAGCCUGAACCAGCAAUGCCGGGUGAGGUAUGAAGGGUUUGGGGUUGUAAAGCUCUUUUACCCGGGAUGAAAAGGGCAGGACCGGGAAAAGAACCCCGGCUAAACUCGGG